rnacentral:sRNA from 1 species
AAAACGAAAGCACUCCGUACUGGAAGUAGGAGGAGAGUCGGGACUCCCAGGACAGGGAGUGCACAAACUAUCCAGCACAGCCCCCUCCGCCCCCUUUGGAGGCUGAAGAGGGAUUCCAGCCUCUGCCACCCACAGACAGGGGCUGACUGGGGUGUCUGCCCCCCUUGGGGGGGCAGCACAGGGCCUCAGGCCUGGGUGCCGCCUGGCACCUAGAAGAUGCCUGUGCCCUGGUUCUUGCUGUCCUUGGCACUGGGCCGAAGCCCAGUGGUCCUUUCUCUGGAGAGGCUUGUGGGGCCUCAGGACGCUACCCACUGCUCUCCGGGCCUCUCCUGCCACCUCUGGGACAGUGACAUACUCUGCCUGCCUGGGGACAUCAUGCCUGCUCCGGGCCCCGUGCUGGCGCCUACACAUCUGCAGACAGAGCUGGUGCUGAGGUGCCACAAGGAGGCCGACUGUGACCUCUGUGUGCGUGUGGCUGUCCACUUGGCCGUGCAUGGGCACUGGGAAGAGCCUGAAGAUGAGGAAAAGUUUGGAGGAGCAGCUGACCCAGGGGUGGAGGAGCCUAGGAAUGCCUCUCUCCAGGCCCAAGUCGUGCUCUCCUUCCAGGCCUACCCUACUGCCCGCUGUGUCCUGCUGGAGGUGCAAGUGCCUGCUGCCCUUGUGCAGUUUGGUCAGUCUGUGGGCUCUGUGGUAUAUGACUGCUUCGAGGCUGCCCUAGGGAGUGAGGUACGAAUCUGGUCCUAUACUCAGCCCAGGUACGAGAAGGAACUCAACCUCACACAGCAGCUGCCUGCCCUGCCCUGGCUCAACGUGUCAGCAGAUGGUGACAACGUGCAUCUUGUUCUGAAUGUCUCUGAGGAGCAGCACUUCGGCCUCUCCCUGUACUGGAAUCAGGUCCAGGGCCCCCCAAAACCCCGGUGGCACAAAAACCUGGUGAGGCCUCCCCCUUCCCAAGUCCAUUCCCACUGUAGGCCGAUGCCUGUGCAAAGGACGCAGUGCCUUAUCAAAGAAGACCCUUGAAGAGGACUCACCCCAAGCAAGGGAACACUGGUGGGGGAACUUCUGCCUUCCUGGUUUCCUUGACUUUGGCCUCCUUCUCUUCCUCCUUAUCUUCUCCAACCUCCUUCCUUUAUUUGUUCCACAGACUGGACCGCAAAUCAUUACCUUGAACCACACAGACCUGGUUCCCUGCCUCUGUAUUCAGGUGUGGCCUCUGGAACCUGACUCCGUUAGGACGAACAUCUGCCCCUUCAGGGAGGACCCCCGCGCACACCGGAACCUCUGGCGAGCCGCCCGCCUGCGACUGCUGACCCUGCAGAGCUGGCUGCUGGACGCACCGUGCUCGCUGCCCGCAGAAGCGGCACUGUGCUGGCGGGCUCCGGGUGGGGACCCCUGCCAGCCACUGGUCCCACCGCUUUCCUGGGAGAAUGUCACUGUGGAUAAGGUUCUCGAGUUCCCAUUGCUGAAAGGCCACCCUAACCUCUGUGUUCAGGUGAACAGCUGGGAGAAGCUGCAGCUGCAGGAGUGCUUGUGGGCUGACUCCCUGGGGCCUCUCAAAGACGAUGUGCUACUGUUGGAGACACGAGGCCCCCAGGACAACAGAUCCCUUUGUGCCUUGGAACCCAGUGGCUGUACUUCACUACCCAGCAAAGCCUCCACGAGGGCAGCUCGCCUUGGAGAGUACUUACUACAAGACCUGCAGUCAGGCCAGUGUCUGCAGCUAUGGGAUGAUGACUUGGGAGCGCUAUGGGCCUGCCCCAUGGACAAAUACAUCCACAAGCGCUGGGCCCUCGUGUGGCUGGCCUGCCUACUCUUUGCCGCUGCGCUUUCCCUCAUCCUCCUUCUCAAAAAGGAUCAUGCGAAAGAGUGGCUGAGGCUCUUGAAACAGGACGUCCGGUCGGGGGCGGCCGCCAGAAGCCGCGCGGCUCUGCUCCUCUACUCAGCCGAUGACUCGGGCUUCGAGCGCCUGGUUGGCGCCCUGGCGUCGGCGCUGUGCCAGCUGCCGCUGCGCGUAGCCGUAGACCUGUGGAGCCGUCGUGAACUGAGCGCGCAGGGGCCCGUGGCUUGGUUCCACGCGCAGCGGCGCCAGACCCUGCAGGAGGGAGGCGUGGUGGUCUUGCUCUUCUCGCCUGGUGCGGUGGCGCUGUGCAGCGAGUGGCUACAGGACGGGGUGUCCGCGCCCGGGGCGCACGGCCCGCACGACGCCUUCCGCGCCUCGCUCAGCUGCGUGCUGCCCGACUUCUUGCAGGGCCGUGCGCCCGGCAGCUACGUGGGGGCCUGCUUCGACAGGCUGCUCCACCCGGACGCCGUACCCGCCCUUUUCCGCACCGUGCCCGUCUUCACACUGCCCUCCCAACUGCCGGACUUCCUGGGGGCCCUGCAGCAGCCCCGCGCCGCGCGUUCCGGGCGGCUCCAAGAGAGGGCGGAGCAAGUGUCCCGGGCCCUUCAGCCAGCCCUGGAUAGCUACUUCCAUCCCCCGGGGACUCCCGCGCCGGGACGUGGGGUGGGACCUGGGGCGGGGGACGGGACUUAA